rnacentral:rRNA from 1 species
AUGAAUGAAAUUGAUGGUCGAAAGAGACUCAGACGCCGGGAAGAAAAAGGGUGGGAGGGCGAGAAAAACACAGGCAACUGGAAGGGAGAACCAACGAAUAUCUUGAAGAGAAAACACCAGUUGAAAUCAUUGAGGAGAGAAUGCAAAGGCUUCACACGAGUAGGAAGGAUACUCGAUUACGAACUCCGGAUUCGAGAAGAAGAAGGGAGGGCGGGUGGGAAAAGAAAACAACUGAGAAUUGAACUUGGCGAGGAAGAAGAGGCUCGAGUCAACUUGACGAGAAAUGCACCGGAUGAAAAGAGCUGA